rnacentral:misc_RNA from 1 species
AUAAGGCGAGUAGAGCAGCACUUUUCUCACCGAGCAGGCACUCCGUGACGCAGCACGCAUCAAAAAUCCCCGCGGGCUGCGUUGGUCGCGCUUACCCUCCCCGCCUGCCAUCAGCCGGGCAACGCUCUUUGUGAGUGCGGACUUCCAUAGUUGUGCCUUCGUUGUCUGCUUUACUCUGUCCACUUCCUAUCGACCAAGCUCAACUCCCUCUCACCAGCGACGAUGGCUGAAUUCCACGGGAGCGCCGGCCGCGAGAAAGACGGCGGUGACGGCGCAGCGGAGGUGGGCUCACUCUGCUCGGGCGUGCCUGGGCCGAUGGUUUCUGGCGAGCAGAAGCCGCCGAUCACGCAGGGCAGCCACCGCACCAAGGCUGACGGGGCGAUCGUUCAUCCGCAGGCAGAAUCGCUGUUCGCCGCGUGCCCGUGGGUGCGUCUGGUUCCCGUGAUUGGCGACGCCUUGGAGGGCUACGGGCCCAGGCUGAUUGCCUCGGUAUGCCUCGCCUACUUCCUCUGUAAAGGAGUGGCUGACCAGAUGAUCGGCUUCUCGCGCCAGCCAAUGCUCAUGAGGCGCUACGGCCUCGACGCCACGCGGUAUCAACGCCUCGCUGCCGUCUGGGGAGCAGGAUGGUCUGUGAAGGCCUUCAUCGCCGCCCUUACGGACACGUUUGCGUUCAUGGGGUACACGAAGCGGUGGUACAUGCUACUCUCGUGCGUUAUGGGUGCUGGUUUCAGCCUGGGCUAUGCACUGCUGCCUGCACAGCCGUCGUCCGGCGCCCCUGCCGCCGUCUUCAUCUUCCUGACCACCCUUGGCAAGUCGAGCGUGGACAUACUGUCGGAGGGCCACUACAGCCGCCUAAUGCGCCGUAACCCACGUCCUGGACCAGCGCUUGUGAGCUGCGUUUGGUUGUCCAUCUUUACGGGCGCCCUGAUCGCGUCCGUGAUGCAGGGCCCGCUGUCGGAGAGUGGCAAGGUGCACGUGGGCGUGAUGAUCUCGGCUGCCCUGCAGUUUGUGGCGGGCAUCCUCUUUGUGUUCAACUGGUAUGGCGAAAAGACAAACCGGGCGGAGCGGCUGCAGGACCUCCGUGACGCCAAGGCUGCGCUUGCGAAGGCCUGUGCGAAGACCCGGUUGAACUCGCCCUCCUUGGACGUCAAGGCAGCCGCCCUUGGCGAGGACCUCCACCUGGAGGGGCAGAAUUCAUCACCGCCUCCCCAGACUCUGGGAAAGCACACGCAUCAGCUCCAACGAAGCUUCUUGGCUCUCGACGAUGAUAUGCUCGACCUCUCGACCUGCGAUGGUGUCAAAGGCACUCACGAGCAGCAGCGUGUUUCCGCACUCAGGAGCGACGUGGUGGCGGCAGAGGAGAGCGAUAAUGACGAGACAGUGGGGGAGGACUUGCGCAUCCCCUCAUGUCUGUUUGGUGUCUUCGAGAUCAACACUGAGGUGGUGCAGUAUAACUGGCGCGCCGUACUCUACAGCACCGUAAUGACUUGCAGCGUGGUGACACUGGUGUGCGUGACGAUCCUCGGUACAGCGUGGGAGCUGAUGUAUAUGAGCAUCGCUAUCUCCAUUGUGUGCUGCGCCUUCGCCUUUUUCGCUCUUCCGCCGGUCAUCGCCAAGGCACAGGUUUUCUUCUACCUGAACUCGUUGCUGUACCUGCAACUGCCUGGUGCACUGGACAGCUUCUACCUCGCGGACGCUUCCUGCGUUCCUGGCGGUCCGCACUUCUCGUACGUUUUCUACAAUACCAUCAGUGCCGUCAUCUCGAACAUCGGCGGCGUUGUCGGCAUCGUCCUCUUCACCAACAUCUUCUCAAAGAUGAGCUACCAGGUCACCAUGUGCAUCACCGUCUCCCUCAUGGCGGUGGCCAGCAUCUUCGACAUCAUCAUGGUGGAGCGCUGGAAUGUCUACAUGGGCAUCCCUGACCACGCCAUGUAUCUGUGCGGUGAUGCAAUCAUCUACAAUAUUUGCAGCAUGCUUAGCACCAUGCCGUGCACAAUCUUGAUGUCGCGCCUGUGCCCUCGUGGCUCGGAGAGCAUGGUAUACGCACUGAUGUCUGGCUUAUCCAACUUUGGCCAGACCGUGUCCACGGCUGUCGGCUCGUUGCUGAUGGAGACGCGCUGGCCAUUGGUUACAAACUCGGUUCCGUGCGAUUUUAGCAACGUGCGCUGGCUCGUGGUCACGGGGCAUCUGUGCUGCCCGCUGCUCAUUGUGCCGCUGUCGUUCCUUCUGCUGCCCCGCUCCCGCAUCUGCGACGACAUCGACGUGAAUGGCCAUGCAAUUCACGCGCCGCUGAGGGCGGAGCUCGUGAGGGUGGGGCUGUCGGAGCAGCGCAUCUCAACUGACAAGGACUGCUUCAACAGCAACGCCAAUGCACCGGAUGCUCACCUGACGGACGCUCGGGCCUCAGAUCCCCAUCAGCUUACCGAUGUCAAUGGUGCUGUACGGAGGGUCGUGAAAUGAGCAGCGCAUUCCUCCUUCGAGCACGCGGACAUGUAGAGGGGGAGGGAGCGGCGACACGGGCCAAUGCAACCAGGAAGAGCAGGCGCGCUGCUCUUCUCUGUUUUCUUUUUCUUGCGUGUGUGCUCCUCGCAUAUUCCUCUUCGUCUGCGGCCUCCGUGCCAACAUACCGCUUUCAUGUAGGCGUCGCUUUCCCCUUUCCCCUUUCCCUUUUCCUUGCCCUUUGGUUCGUUGCACGUGAUGCCUAUCGCCCUUGCUAACUGCCGUUCACAGGGACGUUUGAAGACGCACAAGCUCUCUGCCUCUCUUGCCGUGCUUCCCUUUUCCUGCGGCGCUCCUCCGCUGGUGCCGCUGCUCUGCGUGAUAUCGCGCCCUUCGUUUUUUUUUUCGUUUCUUUCGUCUUCUUCUUUUGUUCUGGACGAGGCGGUGAAGAGAGCAGGAAAAGGGAAGCGCGGCAGUGGCUGCAGAGGGCCCCUACAAAAGGGAGGAAGGGUGCGAGAGAAGUAGUGUACAUGUGCGUGCGCGCGUGUGUGUGUGUGUGCGCGCGCGCGCCGGUGCAUCGAAAGGAGAGAGGGCUCGCUCACCUUCUUCUCGCUUUUUUCCUUGAUGUGCGACGGAUGAACAAGGAGAACAAAAUAAAGAAGCCGCGCAAGCGCCUGUAUGCCCCCCCGCCGGCACAGCCCCUAUCCCCCACCCUCACACUCUCUUUCUCUCUUGCCCUUGCACCUGGCGAUAUCCCCACCGCGAUCACUACGGCUCCGCCACACCCGCUCCCACCCCAACUUCUCUCUCUUCUUGAACACUUUUUUUUUUCGUUAACCACUUCCUCUUCUGCGUGCCUUGGCAUGCUUUUCUUCCCCACUUGCCCUCUCCUAUCUCCAACUACCUCCCUUCUUCUCCCGUCCCCUCCCUCACCCCCUCUUUCACGCUCCUUGUCGCCCAUUUCUCCGCUUUCUCUGUCGUCUGUUCCGUGUUUUGAGUACGUGUGGAGGGUGUUGCAUAUGCCCCUCCACCCUCUCUCUCCCUUCUACGCUGUGUGCCUUCUCGGAGUCUCUCUUUCUUUAUAUGUCUGUGUGUGUGUGUGCGUGUGCGCGUGCCGUUGUCCUGAGUAUUCGAAAGCGUUGUCUUCGAGACUUUGCAUGUCUGCAGGUCGGUGUGCCGUUCUUCGCGUGCUGGUCCGCUCGCGAGGGUUUGUCACGAGCGUGGCACACUUGCGCAACAAACACCCUUCCUGCUGGCACAAAGACCGUCGUUGUCACGACUACGCCUCCCUCCUCCCCCCCCCCCCACACACACAACAAAAAAUCGAAUGUGCGCCGUUCAUGACAUGCCCGCGGCGAUCACCGCGGCCCCUUCUUCAGCACACGCCCACAGGCCGGCGCCAGCCUUGUCUUCAUUUUUUUUCUUUGUUCAUUGCCCCAGUGUCUUGUGUGCAGGUGCGUGUCUGCCCGCGAGCCCCUUCCGCUUGCCAACCCCCCCCCUUCUGCUAGAGGCGUGCGGAUGUAGGAGAGAGUGGAGUGCCCCGUGCCGCCACAGGCUCAUGGCAGCGUCCCACUUGUCGAGGCACAUGUGGGCAACCCAUUCAAACACACACACACACACAACACACAACACAGGCAACAGGAGCGUCCUGGAACACGCCCCUGGACCGAAAACUGCGAGCACUGCACGCAGACGCUGCCAAGCAUGGCUGGUACGGUGUGUCGAAUUUCAGACAAAUAUGCAGAGAUGAGAAGAGCCCGAGUGGUGGACAACAUGGCGCAAAGACAUGCAUGCAAAUGAGCCCCCAGCUGCACGUGUGCAACAUGAGCCGCAUCUCCUCCAUCCAGCCAGGUGUGGGCUGGUGAGGCACGGAUGCCGGAAGCAUGACGAGAGCAGCCUCGGGUUGCACUAUUCAGUACACCAGACUCCCAUGUGGAGAGGCACCACAACAUAUUAUGGGAUGCCGUGGCUUGAGGCGACUGAGGCCGAAGCAUGGCACAGAGGCAGGGUGUGCAAGGUCUCAGAGGGCCCUGACCUGUAGCUGGCCAUGAUCCUCCUUGAGCUCAUGCGACAUGCAUCGAGAGACCACCACCCUCUGCUAUCCCGCACGACAGACGCCACGGCUUGCUGCCCUCGAAUGAAACCCUGGACGCUGCCCGCUGGAAUCAAGGUAUGCAGUCCACCCAAGCCCGUCUGGCGCGGGCCGUUCAGCACGUAUCCGAGGAAGGGACGAGGAAAGGGCGGAAAGAGCCCAUUGGACGCAUGGCCCCGAUGCCACGGCUGGACGCUUCGUCCCAAGCGAUGAGGCGUUCGUCGUACUCCUGCAAAGUUGGGAGGGCUGCGGCCGCGCAUGCGCGAAUCUGUGGACGGGUCCGGGAUAGGACCCACAUGAAGCAGCCUAGAUGAAACGAA